AAGUCUCAUGCCAGCCCACUUUACAGAGGAGGGAGGAGGCCCACAAGGGUGCCAUCCCCAGUCACAAAGCCUGGAGAGAGGAAUGUAAGUCGCGAAGCCGCUCCAGAGGAUGCUGAACAGUGUCAUGUACGGAGGAGCCUUGCCCCGGCUUUCUGGUCCUGAAUAAGAGACACGACACAAUGCCAGAUGAAACUCAUCCAAGUCCACGGAUCCCCUGAAUUCCAAGGAAAGAACCGCGGUUCCAGCUUCCCUCGAAGGUGUCCCCCGGUCCCGCUCACCACCUCAGCUUCCAGGAGUCUCCGGUGGGACAGCCGGAACCCCACUGAGGGUCUCGAAGUCACAGGCCCCUGGUUCACACUCAGCAUUUCCUGUCUGUGCUGGGUACGCUUGGGCAAAUGUCUUGACCCGUUUCCCCAACUGUAAAGUAAGAAGGUAACAGAGUCAGCUGAAUGGGGGUGUGGUGAGGAUUUAAUAAAACCGUCCACGUUUGGACUCUCC